AUAAAAGUGAUCUAGGGUUCCGAUACAUAUUGAAUGUAUGACUGCGACCGAGAGUUCACGGCUUCGUUUUGAUUUAAAGCAGAGCUGCACGGAGGGAUAAAAGCCCGGGAGGU
rnacentral:sRNA from 2 species